rnacentral:rRNA from 1 species
CAUUGGCUGUCGUCAGCUCGUGUCGUGAGAUGUGGUUAAGUCCGCAACGAGCGCAACCCUCAUCCUUAGUUUGCCAUCAUUGAGUUGGGCACUCUAAGGAAACUGCCCCGGUUAACGGGGAGGAAGGUGGGGAUGACGUCAAGUCCUCAUGGCCUUUAUGUCCAGGGCUACACACGUGCUACAAUGGGCGGUACAAAGGGUUGCAAUACCGCGAGGUGGAGCUAAUCUCAAAAAGCCGCUCUCAGUUCAGAUUGGAGUCUGCAACUCGACUCCAUGAAGGCGGAAUCGCUAGUAAUCGCGGAUCAGCAUGCCGCGGUGAAUACGUUCCCGGGCCUU